UCGAUAUCACAUUUUAUGCCUGCUGCACCCUUCAUGAAGAAUCAAGACAACAUUGAUUCCAGACACCAGAAGAUCUAACUAAGUCAGAAUGUCUCAGUUACAGUCCAGAUCUCUAUUUAUUACCUACCUCACCAAGAAAGACAAGGAGAAAAUCGUUCAAGUCCCGGCUAUUUGUGUGUGAUCAGUAAAUAUUUAGUGUGGCGACAUCUUCAGCUCCUCUCCUGAUCAAUACGCAACCCAACAGGAGGUGGACUAUUGUCCGGGUAGUGACUUGCUGAGAUCUCCUUUAGAUGAAUUCUUUGCUCCCCAUCCAGUCUGUUAUGAUUUAUCCUCGAAGGUAACCAGUAAAGAGAAAUUGAGGCUUUAAAAACGUCUAUUUCUAACCUGUUUACCGUGACAUUAAAGCACCCAAGCAAGGAAUGGAUUAUUCUUCCCCGUCUCUUAUCUACCUUUGAUGGGCUAACGCAGCGAAAGCGCUGCUAAAAAAUGACUAUCAAACCGGGCAGCCGGCGCAUCCCUGUACCCUGUCCUCUCUUCCCCGGCCCCUCCAGCAAACCCCCCGUCCUCUCUCAGCGGUGCAAUGUCAAUAUAAAGGAGUCAUUCCUCGGCCCCCUCUGCAGCAGCUCCGGGCACCGGCCUCUCCCCGACAGCUCUGCCCCGGCGGGUGGGUACCGAAGUGCCCAGAAAUGGAAGGUGCCCCAGCAACUUCCAGCCCACCUCCUUCCUCCUCUUCCUCGGAUCCCGCCGC